rnacentral:misc_RNA from 1 species
UUCCGAUAUAAGAUCGACGGGUGGCGGAAGCCUGAGAGCCGGUUCAAAGGCUCUACUUUUACCCUAGUUCCGUGUAUGAGAUUUAUUUCCCUCAUGGCUUAUCAGACUUCGCCGCUGUUACUCUGUGCCUCUCUCUCCGUUCUCUCCGUGUCUUCUAUCCGGAUUGACGUAAUGUCUCAAAACUUCGUUACGGUCUGCGUCGUCUGCGUUUUGUGCGCUGCACACGCUCCGUGUUCUGCCCACACCGAUGGACAAAUUUCCCGCCUCUCUUCCUUGCCAGGACCACUGGAUCUCAUAGAUUCAGCCAACGAUGAUCGUUUGCAGCCGUUGAAACACCAAAUUAGUUCAAGAGAAAUAGGUAGAAUAAAAAAUAUGAAGGAUGCGUUUGACCCGCUUGAAUCGGAACCCGUUGGUCAUGAACUUAGGCUCAGGAAACGGAGACACACAGAUGAUGAUGAUGAUGAGUCUAAUUUCACAAAGAGAAUUUUCAGGGAUUAUGGAAAUGGAGAUAGCAUGACAAUUGAAGGGUUCGAAAGGCUACUACAAAAACUCAGACUUCAGGAAGAUGACAAUUGUACAUCGGUCCAAAGCGAUAAAUUUAGUAGAAUUGAUGAUGAUAACCUCACGAAUAAUACUUCUCAACCUAACAAUGGACUUAAUAAAAGUGCCAAAAACCAAAGGUGCCUCAGAAGCAAAGAAUUGCUGGAUAAAUUUGCCGGCAACAAUUCUCACUGGUCGGAAAGUGACAAUAACACCACAUUGCCUGGUUGGCUUUUGGAAAGGAUUUGCCCUGCCCUAGUUUAUCAAUUAGCAAGCUCUGAUCCGAGCGGGUGUAUCCAAUUCCCUGAGAAUUUAUCUACCGUAGCAGGCAUGACCGUAGGAAACGAAUCCGAGGCAAAUUCAAUGUCUCAACACAUGUGGCAAGUUUGGAUUUGGUCUUCACUAAGUAUUCUAAUUAUAAGCCUAUGCGGCUUGCUCGGAGUAGUCGUGAUUCCGGUCAUGAAUAAAACUUACUACCACCAGUUUAUACAGUUCCUGGUUGCGCUCGCUGUCGGAACACUCUGCGGCGAUGCUUUGAUACAUCUUCUGCCGCAUGCUAUGAUGUCCUCGGGACACGAGCAUGACCACCAUAGUGGUUCCGGGCAUGGAGAGCCAUUGUCGAAUACAAAACAUGACCAUGAUACCAAUAUGUGGAAAGGUUUUGUGGCAAUGAUGGGAUUGGUGCUUUUCUUUUUUACUGAAAAAGCUCUAACUAUGAUCGCCGAAUGGAGGAAAUCUCACCAGCGUCGUACCAAGUUACCUGCACGUGUUAAAGUGAUGCGCGAGCCUGCCGACACAACUGGCAACAGUUCGAGCAGCGACAAACAUUGUAAACACAAGUAUUCAUCCUACCCAUACUGCUACGGCGAAAUCACAACAGAAACUCAAGACAAUCAUCAUAAUCGUCAGCACAACAAUCACCAAAUAACGGCAGCAGUUGUAGAGGAAGAAAAACCUCUUACGUCUAAUAGCAAUGCUAUCUUGAAAUCAGCCGAUGAUGAUGUUGAUAAAAGGCAGGACGAAGAUUGGAAGAUGGACGAGGCUAUAAUCAAUCACGCGAAUAAGAAUAGCGAAAACAACGAUCCGUCUGUGAACGAGGUUGAGAGCUACACGGUCAUUAUUCGUGAACAUGAAACGAAACAUCACGGUCACACGCAUUCGCACGGUCACGUACACUCGGCGCCUGAAUCAAUGUCCAGCGUUGCAUGGAUGGUCAUCAUGGGUGAUGGCCUGCACAAUUUUACCGAUGGUAUGGCCAUCGGUGCAGCUUUUGCAGCUAACAUUCCCGGCGGAUUUUCAACGGCUAUUGCAGUAUUGUGUCACGAAUUGCCUCAUGAACUGGGCGAUUUUGCCGUUCUACUGAAGGCUGGGAUGAGCGCUAAACAGGCAGUCUUCUAUAAUCUAUUAUCUUCCGUGCUGUGUCUGUUUGGAAUGGUGUUUGGGAUACUAUUAGGUGCCGAUCCAUCAGCGACAAGCUGGAUCUUUGCAGCUGCUGCUGGAAUGUUCAUCUACAUUGCUCUAGUGGAUAUGAUACCGGAAUUGACAUCGAGUCACUCGGCGGAAGGAGGCUCGCAGUGGCAGUGCGUUCUACAAGCGAUGGGACUAGCAACGGGACUUGGCAUAAUGUUGAUCAUUGCUUUAUACGAGCAUGAUUUGAAGCAGAUAUUUCAAGAUUAGUGUAAACAAUGGAAAAUCAUUUAUUUACACGAAAUGAAAAGGAGAGUUGAAGCGUUUCCAUCUCACACUGUCACCUGAAAGAAGUCUGAAAGAAAAAAUAAUUUUCCGCCAACGACCAUGAUGUCAAAGGUUCAGCCUGUUGGUCUGGCAGGUCAAAGUUACUAUACACGUUUUCCCAGCUCUGUGAUAUCACGAGCAAUCCACCAUUGGGUAAAUGUUAAGCUUAUGAUUGUCUCUCAGGGUUAAAUCAACAUCCAGUUAGAACAAUAAAAAUGAAGUUGCAGGACAGUAUACGUGUAAACAAUGAAUUAUCCAAGCCGAGUUCUUGUGCAGAGUGUCAAAGAUCCGACAUACUUAAGUG